AUCCUUUCGUAGUUCAUAAAUAUGAUGACUAGGAUUUUAUAUUAAGUGAGAUGUGCCUCGCUCAAAUCUUGUUAAAAAAAAAUACUACAUUAGUCUAUGGCCAUACCUCCCUGAAC
rnacentral:snoRNA from 1 species